rnacentral:misc_RNA from 1 species
CAGGUUUUGUAGUCCAUGCUGAGAUUGUCAUGGAACUUCCAGUGGAACAUGGUCUUCUUCUGGAUAACCUGUUAGAUCUUGCGCAUGCCCCUUUUACUCACACAUCUACCUUUGCGAAGGGUUGGAGUGUCCCCAGCUUGGUGAAAUUUUUAACGCCUGCAUCUGGCCUGCAAGGAUACUGGGACCCUUAUCCAAUAGAUAUGGAAUUCCGACCACCUUGUAUGGUAUUAUCAACCAUUGGGAUCUCAAAGCCCGGAAAGCUAGAGGGGAAAAAUACCAGGCAAUGUGCAACUCAUCUUCACCAACUUCAUGUAUGCUUG